rnacentral:rRNA from 1 species
GGGAGCUUGCUCCCUUAGGUCAGCGGCGGACGGGUGAGUAACACGUGGGUAACCUGCCUGUAAGACUGGGAUAACUCCGGGAAACCGGGGCUAAUACCGGAUGCUUGAUUGAACCGCAUGGUUCAAUCAUAAAAGGUGGCUUUUAGCUACCACUUACAGAUGGACCCGCGGCGCAUUAGCUAGUUGGUGAGGUAACGGCUCACCAAGGCGACGAUGCGUAGCCGACCUGAGAGGGUGAUCGGCCACACUGGGACUGAGACACGGCCCAGACUCCUACGGGAGGCAGCAGUAGGGAAUCUUCCGCAAUGGACGAAAGUCUGACGGAGCAACGCCGCGUGAGUGAUGAAGGUUUUCGGAUCGUAAAACUCUGUUGUUAGGGAAGAACAAGUACCGUUCGAAUAGGGCGGCACCUUGACGGUACCUAACCAGAAAGCCACGGCUAACUACGUGCCAGCAGCCGCGGUAAUACGUAGGUGGCAAGCGUUGUCCGGAAUUAUUGGGCGUAAAGCGCGCGCAGGCGGUUUCUUAAGUCUGAUGUGAAAGCCCCCGGCUCAACCGGGGAGGGUCAUUGGAAACUGGGGAACUUGAGUGCAGAAGAGGAGAGUGGAAUUCCACGUGUAGCGGUGAAAUGCGUAGAGAUGUGGAGGAACACCAGUGGCGAAGGCGACUCUCUGGUCUGUAACUGACGCUGAGGCGCGAAAGCGUGGGGAGCGAACAGGAUUAGAUACCCUGGUAGUCCACGCCGUAAACGAUGAGUGCUAAGUGUUAGAGGGUUUCCGCCCUUUAGUGCUGCAGCAAACGCAUUAAGCACUCCGCCUGGGGAGUACGGUCGCAAGACUGAAACUCAAAGRAAUUGACGGGGGCCCGCACAAGCGGUGGAGCAUGUKGUUUAAUUCGAAGCAACGCGAARAACCUUACCAGGUCUUGACAUCSUCUGACAACCCUAGAGAUAGGGCUUCCCCUUCGGGGGCAGAGUGACAGGUGGUGCAUGGUUGUCGUCAGCUCGUGUCGUGAGAUGUUGGGUUAAGUCCCGCAACGAGCGCAACCCUUGAUCUUAGUUGCCAGCAUUCAGUUGGGCACUCUAAGGUGACUGCCGGUGACAAACCGGAGGAAGGUGGGGAUGACGUCAAAUCAUCAUGCCCCUUAUGACCUGGGCUACACACGUGCUACAAUGGGCAGAACAAAGGGCAGCGAAGCCGCGAGGCUAAGCCAAUCCCACAAAUCUGUUCUCAGUUCGGAUCGCAGUCUGCAACUCGACUGCGUGAAGCUGGAAUCGCUAGUAAUCGCGGAUCAGCAUGCCGCGGUGAAUACGUUCCCGGGCCUUGUACACACCGCCCGUCACACCACGAGAGUUUGUAACUCCGGAUGUCGGUGAGC